UUUAAAGGAAAGGCUAGCAUGGACAAGAAGAGCACUCCCUGCUUCUAGUGAGCAAAGGCAGCCCCCCUUGAGCUUCUAUAGCCCUUCUUAUUUAUUGGGUAACAAGAGCAAGGAGGAGGAGAUGGAGUCUCACUCUGUCCCAGGCUGGAGUGCAAUGGUGUGUCCUCGGCUCACUGCAAGCUCCACCUCCUGGGUUCAAGGGAUUCUCCUGCCUCAGCCUUUCCAGUAGCUGGGAUUACAGCCCUGCCGCACCCCGCCCCCUUCUGCCACCACCAAGUGAUCAUCCAGCUGACACUUGAGGAACUUUGAUGAUGAGGAGUUCAUCAGUCAUUGGUCAGACUAUUAAAUCUUUCCACAGCUUAGUGAGUUUAUUAUAGUUUUCUUGAUGCAUAAUUCUGCCUGCUACAGAGAUAGAAUUACUUAAGGAUGUUUGAAAUACAGGUAUACCUCAGAGAUACUGCAGGUUUGGUUCCAGACCACCAU
rnacentral:lncRNA from 1 species